AUUGAACGCUGGCGGCAUGCCUUACACAUGCAAGUCGAGCGGCAGCGCGGGGGCAACCCUGGCGGCGAGCGGCGCACGGGUGAGUAAUACAUCGGAACGUGUCCUUUUGUGGGGGAUAACCAGUCGAAAGACUGGCUAAUACCGCAUGAGAUCUCACGAUGAAAGCGGGGGACCGCAAGGCCUCGCGCGAUUGGAGCGGCCGAUGUCGGAUUAGCUAGNGGCGGGGUAAAGCCCACCAAGGCGACGAUCCGUAGCUGGUUUGAGAGAACGACCAGCCACACUGGGACUGAGACACGGCCCAGACUCCUACGGGAGGCAGCAGUGGGGAAUUUUGGACAAUGGGGGCAACCCUGAUCCAGCCAUGCCGCGUGUGUGAAGAAGGCCUCGG
rnacentral:rRNA from 1 species